AACGAACGCUGGCGGCAUGCCUAACACAUGCAAGUCGAACGAGACCUUCGGGUCUAGUGGCGCACGGGUGCGUAACGCGUGGGAACCUGCCCUUAGGUUCGGAAUAACUCCCCGAAAGGGGUGCUAAUACCGGAUAAUGUCUUCGGACCAAAGAUUUAUCGCCUUUGGAUGGGCCCGCGUUGGAUUAGCUAGUUGGUAGGGUAAAAGCCUACCAAGGCGACGAUCCAUAGCUGGUCUGAGAGGAUGAUCAGCCACACUGGGACUGAGACACGGCCCAGACUCCUACGGGAGGCAGCAGUGGGGAAUAUUGGAAAAUGGGCGAAAGCAUGAUCCAGCACUGACGGGUGAGUGAUGAAGGCAUUAGGGUUGUAAAGCUCUUUUACCCGGGAUGAUAAUGACAGUACCGGGAGAAUAAGCUCCGGCUAACUCCGUG
rnacentral:rRNA from 1 species